UCCAGAGAAUAUGUGUAUUACUCCUAACAAAAUCCAAGAUGGGAGCUCCUGUCACAACUUUGAAGGCUUGGAUCAAUCCUGCAAUAGAGAUGCUGAACCUUUAGACUGGGGCAGAGAUGGAAUUGAAUGAGGAUUAAUGAUUCAUCUCCCAAUUAAGAUGAAACUGCCAGCUUGAAAAGAAGCAAUGGUUUGGUGACCCAAGCAACAACAAUCCUACUUAAAAUCGAGGGAUAUUUUGCACCAGUAAAUUUCCAUCAGCUGCACAUUGCAGCAAACAGUAACCACACCUUGUGUGCACAGGGACUGUACAGAAUGCAACAAUCUCCUAUUCAUCAGAGAUAUGUAGACCUACAUUGUUCUGGAGGCACAGUUUUCCUUUAAGAUGUAGAGGAUAAGACAAAUCCUUCCCCUGACAUCAUCCAGCCCAGUUACAGGCUCGAGAGCCAUCUGAUCUGCUGGGCGACCCACUGCAUCUUUUUGAAGAGGGGGAGUGCCUGAUUUUGGAGCCAAAUGUACAGGGUUUCCUACAGAGCUUAUAAAGGGAUCCCUGCUACAGCAGCCAGAGAGAUCUAUAAAUGUGGAGAGUGACAGUGCUGCUUGAAAGGAGUUUCUAGGAAGAAGGAAAAGGAAAGGCUGCGUUUUGCUCUGCUUGAGAAAGUAUUUGAGCAUCAGAGAGAGACAGUUUCUAACUCCUGCCUGUGGAUGCUUUGGCAGCUGUGUGUUUCCCCAGAUUGAGGACAGGUCUUGCUUGUGUACCUGCCACGUGGGAGCGGCUACUACUUUCAAAGGGAAAGGUACCUUGGGGC